AACUAUUUGAGUUUUGCCUUCUUGGACUUGGGAGAUCAUACCUUAGUGGAGACUUGUGCAAGACUUUUGCACAUUGUCUUUGCUUUCACUACUACAAAAAUGACAUUUUACCACGCCUCAAUUGCCACGGUUAUAGGCGGAACCGUGGCAAAAGCUCAAUUGCCACGGUUAUAAGCGGAACCGUGGUAAUAGGGUAUAAUAUUUGAUUAUUUUUUUUAGGGACCGUGACAAUAGAAAUUUUCUCCAAUUUUUUUGAGAAGAAAACCCUAAAGCUUUGCAAACCCUCUCCCUCCCACGCUCUAUCCCACUCUCCACACUCCAUCAACCUGCCGACGAAGCUUCAAUCUGUUCCCGUCCCUCUCUCGUUUCCCUGUCCUUCCCUCCCACUCUUCAUCGACCUGUCCCUCUCUCCCACCAGCGAAUUUAGUGCGGAUAAUUCUGAGACAGAGCGAGCCGCAGAGGAAGCUUCGUGGAGAAAAGAGGAGGCUGCAACUGCGGCUGAGCGAGCGGCAGUUGAACGAUGUUGACGGAGAGGCGAGAGAAGGACGUAACAGAAAUCUAUUUUUGAUUUUAAGCUCCGAUCUGUUCUGUUCACGCCAUUCACCUAGGGUUGCAGUCCCUCUCGACGCUUGGGCCUUCUCUUCCAUCGAAGUCGCACCACACCUUGCAACUUCGUCACCCACUCCGACAAAGUCUUCGUUCUCCGUCCAAGUCGCUGUUCUCUAUCAGUCGUUCUCCAUCACUAGGGUUCUCUGUCACGCUCUCUCUGCCGUGUCGUUACCGUCCUUCAUUGAUUGUUGAGUCAUUUUAGGUAUCCAUUUUCUUUCUCUAUCUCUAUAUCUAACGCUUAGAUGUUCUGUUUCUUUAUAUGUUUAUCAGCAGUUUUGUUAUUUUGUUUUUCUUAGCCUGCACCACUUACCUCACUGUUAAUGUUGGAAAUACUGAACCGUAAGAUUGCAUAGAGAAGUAUGAGUUCUGGGUUUAGUCUUUAAUUGGUGUUUGCAGUUCGUGUCUAUAAAUAUAACUAAGCUUCAGCAAUUCAGAAAUGGAAUAGAUGACGGAGAGAAUUGCUAUUGGGGGAGGAUAUGUCUGGUGGAGGAAAGGGUGUUUCAUCAGCUCUGGCACUGUCAAAUGCAUUCCCAAACCUUGCUGCUGCUGUUUUUGGUGAACAAAAGCGCCUAGAGUCGAUGCUGCCCGAGAGGAGAGCCAGAUGGAGAAAGGAAAUUGAUUGGCUUCUAUUAGUGACAAAUUAUGUUGUUGAGAUGGUCCUACUAAACAAAAAUCAAAAGAUGGAUCCAGCAUGGAGAUUAUGACAACGCGACAACGAACAGAUCUCCAUAUGAAUAUCCCUGCCUUAAGAAACCUUGACAACAUGCUUAUUGAUUGUCCAGAUAACUUCAAAGACCAGAAUGAGUUCUACUAUGUAUCACAAGAUGCAGAUGAUGCAGAUAAAGAUAGUUCAAAGAGAAAAAAUGAUGACAAGUGGUCCUACACCUAAGGUUCCUGCAGAGGGUUCAUCUGAUGUGGUGAUGGCCAUAAAUGCACAGACCCUAUCGGAGAUGGAGAUCCCUGAAAGCUAUAUUGAAUCCCUACCCAAGAAUGGUGCGUUAAUUAUGACCAGAAAGACAAGAGCCAAAAAAGUUUUUCUUCAAUGACUUGUAGAGGAGUGAUUCAUAUGUGAUUUGAUUACAGAAUGGUAAAUGUUUAUAUACAGCAGAGCUGUGUGUUGCCAAGCAGUGUUUAGUUUCUUCAAACUCCAUAUUUGUCUUCUGUUGUUCUAGCACCUGCCUUCUUCAAACUCUCAUGAAGGCUAGGCUAUGGAAGGACUACAAAUUUUUAAUGGUCUGGAGUGUGAGAUAGCUUGCAGUUCUUCGAAGGUGUCAUAUGUUUUAGAUACCGACAAUGUCUUAUAUCGAACGAGAAGUAAAAGAAAGGUAGCAAAGUCUUCGAAUAUUAGUCCAAGCAGAGCUCCACGGUUCCAUGUCACAUAAUAAUAUGUAAAUAGACGUAAUUAGUGAGGUAGAUGACAUAUUUUCAAUUCAUUUUUGUCACUAGUCCAAGCUGCUACAUUGUUGAGGUUACU